UCCGACUAUUCUAGAAAGUUGUAGUAACAAGCAUUGUAUUAAACCGGCCCAAUAACAAAUUCAAUCCCUUUCUAAAAGCCCGUUAAUUUAGAACCUUCGAUAGGACACUAGUAUAUAACAUUAAAAUCCUUUUUUUUCCUCACCAGGACAUCAAUAUUUGUUGAUUAGGGUUUUCAGAUCGCCGUCUUUGUCAUCCAUUCAUCAUGAGGGCCAAGUGGAAGAAGAAGCGUAUGAGGAGGUUGAAGAGGAAGCGUAGAAAGAUGAGACAAAGAUCCAAGUAGAAGAUCUUCGACUGCGAUGGUUAAUUUUCUUUUUUCCGUUGUCUUUUCGUUCAAUCUUAGUUCAUCGAUCUAAUAGCUAUAUCAAUGGCUAUCGGAUUUUGUUAGGUAGUUUGUUUUUGUGUCAUGUAAUCGAUACAUUUUGAUAAAACAUGAAUAUUAUGAAAUUUGGCGGUUAUCGGUUGGAAAUGGUAUUUGCAAUUUAUGCUUGAACAGAUUGAUUGGUGUAAGAAACUUAGUGUAUGAAUGAGAUGAUUUUAAUUUUGGUUGUUGGAA